GGUACCGGCAAAAGAAAUGGCAAAAAAUAAAUAAAUAAAUAAAAAGCCUACCCGAAUCGAGGGAAGAGAGAACGAUGCCCGGGAGCGCCUUAACUUCACGCCGGGCGCAAGGGCGGAAGGGGGCCGAUUGGUUGACAGCCGGCUGCCUUGCCUUAAGAAGCAGGGCGUCUGAUGUCAAGCCGCCUCUCCCUCUGCCGACUGCCUGCCUGCCUGCCUGCCUGCCUGCCUGCCUGCCUGCCUGUGCCAAGAAGCCUACCCGAAUCGAGGGAAGAGAGAACGAUGCCCGGGAGCGCCUUAACUUCACGCCGGGCGCAAGGGCGGAAGGGGGCCGAUUGGUUGACAGCCGGCUGCCUUGCCUUAAGAAGCAGGGCGUCUGAUGUCAAGCCGCCUCUCCCUCUGCCGACUGCCUGCCUGCCUGCCUGCCUGUGCCAAGAAGCCUACCCGAAUCGAGGGAAGAGAGAACGAUGCCCGGGAGCGCCUUAACUUCACGCCGGGCGCAAGGGCGGAAGGGGGCCGAUUGGUUGACAGCCGGCUGCCUUGCCUUAAGGAGCAGGGCGUCUGAUGUCAGUGAGUGGGGCGGUUUCGUUGGGGGCGAGAGGCCUGGCCGACCUUGGGAGGGUCUUCCUCAACAUAAUAAAGGCUAUAUGUGACAAACCCACAGCUAACAUCAUUGUCAAUGGUGAAAAGCUGAAAGAAUUCCUGCUGAAAUCAGGAACAAGACAAGGAUGUCUGCUCUCUCCACUACUAUUCAACAUAGUUUUGGAAGUCCUAGCCACAGCAAUCAGAGAAGUAAAAGAGAUGAAAGGAAGAAGUAAAACUAUCACUAUUUGCAGAUGACAUGAUACUGUAUCUAGAGAAUCCUAAAGACUCUACCAGAAAAGUGCUAGAGCUCAUCCACGAAUUUGGCAAAGUCACAGGAUACAAAAUUAAUACACAGAAAUCAACUGCAUUUCUAUAUACUAACAAUGAAAGUGCAGAAAGAGAAAUUAGGGAAGCAAUCCCAUUUACCAUCACAUCCAAAAGAAUAAAAUACCUAGGAGUAAACUUACCUAAAGAGACAAAAGACCUGUACACUGAAAACUACAAGCCACUGAUGAAAGAAAUCAAAGAUGACACAAACAGAUAGAAAGACAUCCCAUGCUUAUAGAUUGGAAGAGUUAAUAUUAUCAAAAUGACUAUACUAC
rnacentral:lncRNA from 9 species